AUUGAACGCUGGCGGAAUGCUUUACACAUGCAAGUCGAACGGCAGCACGGGGCAACCUGGUGGCGAGUGGCGAACGGGUGAGUAAUACAUCGGAACGUGCCCAAUCGUGGGGGAUAACGUAGCGAAAGUUACGCUAAUACCGCAUACGAUCUACGGAUGAAAGCGGGGGAUCGCAAGACCUCGCGCGAAUGGAGCGGCCGAUGUCAGAUUAGGUAGUUGGUGGGGUAAAGGCUCACCAAGCCAACGAUCUGUAGCUGGUCUGAGAGGACGACCAGCCACACUGGAACUGAGACACGGUCCAGACUCCUACGGGAGGCAGCAGUGGGGAAUUUUGGACAAUGGGCGCAAGCCUGAUCCAGCCAUUCCGCGUGCAGGAUGAAGGCCUUCGGGUUGUAAACUGCUUUUGUACGGAACGAAACGGCGAGCUCUAAUACAGUUUGCUAAUGACGGUACCGUAAGAAUAAGCACCGGCUAACUACGUG
rnacentral:rRNA from 1 species